UCUUUCAGUUUUUCCAAUCGCCUCUUAAACUUUCUUCCUGGGAAGCCUUUGCCCCAAUUCACCAUCUCUUAAAAAGUAAAAAUGGCCACCAGGAAUGGUGGAGUAAUGCAAGGCACUGUGACAACCCUGGUGGAAAAAAAAGAUUGAUUUUAUUCAUCUCACAUGAGACAGAGAAAGAAUUUCAUAUGCAAGAGAGAAGCAAGGCAGAGCAGCACUCUGGAACUUGCACUGCUGAUGCUGGAACUAGGAGCCUCAGAGAGAGAGAGAGGGAGAGAGAGAGAUCAUAGUACUGAAGGCUCAUCCAAAUGUAGUGGAGAAUGAACUGGAACCUGGUUCCUGGACAUGACAAAACAGGUACACUGUGCAGCAACUUGCAUCACAGUUGGAUGUCACUGCCCAGAGAGGAUCAUGGUGCUGCUCUAAGGCUCCAGAAGCUUUGGGAAUUCCAAGUGCUAGACCAUUAUAACUGACGGCAGUCCUCAGACACAGGUCCUUUACAACUCCAGCAAUGGUGUUUCCUUCACCCUUGGCAGUGGGAUAUGGGUAGAACCCAGUCAGUCUUGGAUAUUCCAGAGAUUCGCCAAGAUGAGGCAGCAGGAGAAACAGCCAGAUAAUUUUCAUCACACUUUCCUGUGUCCUCCAAAGUGUACUCUAAUAAGACUGUUCCCCUCCUUUGAUGUUUGGAAAACCAGUCCACAGCACACAAACAAGUAGCAAGAGCUAUUAGUUUCAAAUGCUUUCCUUUGGGACCACCAAUGUGAUCAAUUAUGUGGCAGUUUUUCAGUGAGCAUUUGAAAUGUGCUGGCCAGAGGCAAGAUGAGUUCAUUGAAAAGGUGUGGCUUGGGGCCUGGUGGUGGUGUAUCUGGUUGAGUAUACAUGUUACAAUGUACAAGGACAUUGGUUUGAGUCCUUGGUGCUCAGUUGCCUGGGGUGGGGUGGGGUGCAGAGCUUCAUGAGUAGUGAAGUUGGGAUGUAGAUGUCUCUCACUCUCUCCAACAUUUUUUUAAAUUAAAUUUUAUUUCUUUAGAUAGGACAAAGAGAAGUUGAAUGGGGAGAGAGUUAUAGUAGGAGAGAGACCUGUGACAUUGUUUCACCACUUGUGAAGCUUUCCCCUGCAAGUGGGGACCAGUGGCUCCAACCUGGGUUCUUGUAUACUCUAAUGUGUGCUCUCAACCAGGUGUGCCACUGCCCAGCCUCUCUCCUCCUUUCCUCUCAGUUUCUUUCUUCAAGUCUUUUUUUUAAAGAAUUUAUUUAUUUAUUAAUAAGAAAGAUAGAGGGAGAGAG